UACAGAGGUCACAAGCGUUAUCCGGAUUUAUUGGGCGUAAAGCGUUUCGUAGGUGAUUUGUUAAGUUGCUCUUCAAAGACCGAGGCUCAACCUCGGGAAGGGGAGUAAGACUGACAGAAUUGAAUUAUGGUGGGGUUUCUAGAACUGGUGGUGUAGUAGUGAAAUACGUUGAUAUCAUCAGGAAUUCCAAGGGCGAAGGCAGGAAACUAACCAUUUAUUGACACUGAGGAACGACAGCUAGGGGAGCGAAAGGG
rnacentral:rRNA from 1 species